rnacentral:rRNA from 1 species
GAUGAACGCUGGCGGCGUGCCUAAUACAUGCAAGUCGAGCGAACGGACGAGAAGCUUGCUUCCCUGAUGUUAGCGGCGGACGGGUGAGUAACACGUGGAUAACCUACCUAUAAGACUGGGAUAACUUCGGGAAAACGGAGCUAAUACCGGAUAAUAUUUUGAACCGCAUGGUUCAAAAGUGAAAGACGGUCUUGCUGUCACUUAUAGAUGGAUCCGCGCUGCAUUAGCUAGUUGGUAAGGUAACGGCUUACCAAGGCAACGAUGCAUAGCCGACCUGAGAGGACGAUCGGCCACACUGGAACUGAGACACGGUCCAGACUCCUACGGGAGGCAGCAGUAGGGAAUCUUGGGCAAUGGGGGAAAGCCUGACGGAGCAACGCCGCGUGAGUGAUGAAGGUCUUCGGAUCGUAAAACGCUAUUGUUAGGGAAGAACAUAUGUGUAAGUAACUGUGGAGAGCAUGACGGUACCGAAUCAGAAAGUAACGGCUAACUACGUG